GCGGCCCCCUCCGGGUGGCACUGCGCCUGCGCGGCCCGAGCCGCGGGCUCAGGGGAGUCUGGGGUCGGAUUGAGCGCCCUUCCCCACUGGGGCGGCCUGGGGGCUCCCGGGGUCCGACAGCUGCUCGGGGCCUCGCCCUCCUGCUGCCAUGGACCCGGCCCAAAUGUGCGGGUCCUGCGCGGGCCGAGGCUUCACUACCACCCCGGGCCGUGAACUACGGGUCGGGGUCAGGUGCCUCCGCCCGGAGAGGGGCGGUCCCGCGGGCCGCACCGCAGGCGAGGGACGGGGUUUCGAGCCCCUGCCCUGCUCAGCGCCGCUCACAGCUGGCAGAAGAGGCCACACUGUGCCCUGCGGGAGCCCAGCAGCAAAGCCGGGGCCGUGGGACCCCCUCGCUCCCUGCACGGACCCCGGGCGUGGGCCUCGGCUUCGCCCCGUGCGGCCAAGCCUGGCGGGGUCCUGGGUGCGCUGCGCCCCCCGGGGGAGGUAGCGUCGAGGACCGCCGGGCUGCUGGAAGAGAGGCAGCGCCAGCGAGAAAGGCGGGGCCUGCACCUUGGCGUGUUCCUCAGGCAGCGGGGAACCCCUGCAGAUUCUUGAGCGGAGGAGGAGCCCAGCGAGGCGGCGGCCCAGGAAGCCGGCACCCUCCUGGACGCAGGGCAACCCAGGCAGGCGCUGGGCUACUGUUCGCUGUCUGUCCUGGCCAGUGGCAGCAGUGCCUGUCACCUGCGUCUGCGGGCCACCUGCCUGGCCGAGUUGCAGGAGUUUGGCCGGGCCCUUAGGGACCUGGACCAUGUGCUCCAGGAGGCGCUGGGGGAUGGUGACCUCCCAAGGCGGGCAGAGGACUUCUGCCGUCAGGGUCGCCUGCUGCUGAGCCUGGGGGAUGAGGCGGCGGCCGCAGGGGCCUUUGCCCAGGCCCUGAAGCUGGCGCCCUCCUUGGCCCAGAACAGCCUGUGCAGGCAGCCAGGCCGGGCCCCCACUGCACGCAUGUUCCUUCUCCGCGGGCAGUGCUGCCUGGAGGAGCAGCGUCACGCAGAGGCCUGGACGGCGGUAGAGAGCGGCCUCCUGGUGGACCCCGACCACCGUGGCCUGAAGAGACUGAAGGCCAGAAUCCGGAGGGAGGCAUCCUCAGGCUGCUGGCUACAGUGACUGGGCCUGACCCUCUCCCAGCCCUAAUCACGGGGCCACCCUAGCAUCUGCACCUGAUGUCCAGGCCCAGGGGUGUACCCAGCUCCCUAAAUCGGGGAGGUACCUGCCCUGCCCUCUCCACACCCCCUUCCCAGCCCUCCCCACACACCCCUUCCCAACCCUCCCCACAACCCCCCUUCCCAAC
rnacentral:lncRNA from 1 species